rnacentral:lncRNA from 1 species
GAUGCCCCAAAUCUAUAAGAUGAUUUAGUAAUGAUCUGAUUCGCGUAGAUUAACUACACAUUUAUACACUCCUUUAUUAGUCAGUUUUUCUCACUAAAGAGCUAAACACCAAAUGGCUUUUUUCUCCAUUUUCAAAUUAUUAUUAUGAAUAGUAAUGAUAAUUUAAAAUGGAGGUUUUUGGGGGAAAAAGAAAUAAAAAGCGUUGGUGUGGGG